rnacentral:antisense_RNA from 1 species
AAGCCAUCAUUCCCGUUAAUUCGUGUCAUGGUAUCUUCUGGUUUAGCAACUGUAAUUUUUGCAAUAUCACCCAGUGUUACGUUCGGCCCUACCGAUAAAUCUUUUACUUUUUGAAGAUUGUCAAUAUUUCCUACCACUUUAAUAUUGCUCGAUUUGCCGUCAAUGACUUUUUCACCAACAGCUAAGGCCGUGUUUUGCCCCUGAAGAACUUUCAUAACAUUUGGGAGAGAUACA